rnacentral:rRNA from 1 species
AAUGAACGUUGGCGGCGUGCUUAACACAUGCAAGUCGUACGAGAAAUCUUCUGCUUGCAGGAGAGAGUAAAGUGGCGCACGGGUGAGUAACGCGUGGGUAACCUACCUUUAAGUUUGGGAUAACAUUACGAAAGCAAUGCUAAUACCGGAUGUUUUCUAUGAGAUUUCGGUUUUAUAGAAUAAAUGUGGCCGCUACAAGUAAGCUACAGCUUAGAGAGGGGCUCGCGUACCAUUAGCUAGUUGGUGAGGUAAAGGCUUACCAAGGCGACGAUGGUUAGCUGGUCUGAGAGGAUGAUCAGCCACACUGGAACUGGAACACGGUCCAGACUCCUACGGGAGGCAGCAGUGAGGAAUUUUGCGCAAUGGGGGAAACCCUGACGCAGCAACGCCGCGUGAGUGAUGAAGGCCUUUUUGGUCGUAAAGCUCUGUCAAGUGGGAAGAAGUUAUAUAUGAAUAAUACGCAUGUAUAUUGACGGUACCACUGAAGGAAGCACCGGCUAACUCC